GAAAUGGCAGCACUACCAACACAGUGUCUCUUGUGGUCUCAAAUAGGCUCUUCCCUUAUUCUUCAAACAGGAUUUUCCUGUUGCUGUGUAGGGGCUGGAAGGUUUAACUACAGUCUGACUCUUCCUGCUGCUGUGAUUGUAAUUGGCUCCCAGGAAUCUUCGUGGAUAUUGAGUAAGCAGGCAUUACCUGCUGGGUGGAAUAGCCUUCCUAGGGACGGCUUUUGUCAUCACAAAACAGGAUGAUGAGAUGCAACAGCUGGAGGAGUGCAGCCACCAGCUCCAAAUGUGGGACUGUGUGAGGGCUCUCAUGCACAGUGAAUACUGACUGUGAAGUGCUGUGCAGCCAACAGGAAUUACUACAGAAAAGAACAAGCACGGACAACUGGGGUGUUAUCUAGAAUGAAACAGUGACAACUCCAAAAGCCCUUCAUGAGUGGUGGAUGGGAACAAAGGAACAAAUUGAAUGAAUGAGUGUUACAGGAAGGCAAGCGUAUUCAAAGCCAAGGAUCUUGGCUGUUGACUUGUGCCUAAAUUUACCUUCAGAUAAUGAAUUGUAGCAAGAGGUUUGGAUAUUUGACGUACCAUCAAACUCACAUAAAUGAGGCAGCAACCACUCAGAAUGAGUGGCAGCAACAUCAUCCAUUCUGGAGAUCUGCAAAGCUGAGGUGCUGACAGCAACUUGGGAGAGCCCCACACGUACCUGCCCCUGUCGCCAAGCAUGUCACAUGCCUUGGUUCUCCUGACAAGGUUAAUCCACAGCCAAAGGACCUUCUCAGGGAUGAGAGUCGGAAAGACGGAUGGGAUUAAAAACUUGAACAAAGCAGAAACAUGCACACAAACUGUAUUGUCCAGGACACCUCUGAGCUGUUCUCAACAGGGAACUGCCACUCUAUUCCAGGAUUCUCUCAGCAGCACAUCAUACUUCCCUAUUUUUCCUUGACUCCCUUGACUUAUUGAUUUAUAUAAAAAUUGUAUCAAGAAAUACAGGCAAUAUAUUAUAAAUACAUAUAGCGGGGAGGAUUGGGCCAGUGGUCACCCCACUACCCAGGAUUUGAAUGGAGCUUUCAGCUGGCAGGGAUCUGCAGGAGGGUUAAUGGACUUCACUGGGACAAACUCAUUAACAAGACACUGUUCUACAUCCCAGGUGAGAUGCAGCACCCACCUGGCUGUGCAACACCCUCCUGCCAAUUCACACAAGGACCGCAUCUGCCUCUCAUUUAUCCAGAAAGCCUAAUGACAGCAAUAAUCCCUCUGGGGAUUAUUUCAGCAGAAAUGGCUACAGUGAAAGCAAAGGCUCACAGAGGACACGAUUCACCGUCACCAGAGUGGAGACAGUAGAACACAUUUGCAUGGUAAGGAAUUCCACUGUGUACUCUUAUCAGGGGGCAGUGCAAAAACACUGACAUGGAAAACACCCAUCCUAUACAUGAAAUGGCUGACUACCCAUUUCUCUCCGUGCAAAUCUACCUUGCCAUUAAAUAGAAAGGGUGUAUUUGGCUAGGUGUGCAGGUGUAACAUGUAAAUCCUUAAUUGUAAGAAGUUGUGUCAUACAAUAAAUGUGUACCCUCUGUAACAGUUAUAAAAGACAAAACUAUGGGAAACCUACACCACAUCUUAGUCUAGCUUUCUCAUCAUUUGCUUGACUACACCUAGCAUCACCAAUGCUGCUCACAGACAUCAGGGUUCCUCAAGCCUGCUCAGGAGGCAGCACACAGCGAAACACCCAGCAGUCACGCAUCAAAGACCUAAAGCAGGAAAAAACACCAUUAACCAUCACAUACACAAGGGACGUGUUGCUGCUCCUCCCCUACAAACCAAACCCCAUCAUUAGGUGCAUGGUUUAAUGAGAUGAAGGCUGCAGCAACCCAAGGACUGAGUUUUGCUGCGUGCCUGAUCACCAGCUUUUGCUGCCAUGUUGCAAACGCUCUCAAGUACCUCAUUGAUCCCCUCCAGGCUUUUAGAGAAGUUGCACAAACUUCCUACACUUCCAACUUCGGCUAAAGAAAAGCAGGCAUGGGGCUGGACAUGUAACAGCCUGCUAAUCACCCUGCUGCUACAGACAGACCUGUUGGCAUGCCAGGCACAGUGCGGUGUGGCACAGGAGAGCAAAGGACAAAAGAUAACACCGAACUCCUUAAAUGAGCCGUGCCAUCCAGUCUGAAUCACACAGCUGCAUUCUCGGAAUUCAAAGCCUGGGGAAUGCAUGCCCCAAAAGGCUCCGAGUACAAGACGGCUCUGGUACAGAUGAAUUCAGAACAGGGAAUAAGCUGGCAGCUCUGUUUUGAGCAAGGUAAUGUAAAUAGUCAAUCUCAAACACCUGGCCUACCUUUGAAAUCUUUCUCCUAUACUGAAGCACACCAGAGCUGUUAAGAUGUGAUAAUGCCUUUCACUUGCGCACCCUAGGGCUCGUGUAUGCAAGAGCAAGGUUCAGAACAGAUCUGGGUUGUGCAACACAGCAGGUAAAGAGACUGAUGCUAAUCUGCCCUUUUUGUAGUUCCUGCAAGAGCAGGUCAUGCUGCUUUCAUGAAAUAGUGCAACCAAGGGCUCCAGGAGUAGGCAGUGAAUUCACUGUAGGAAACAGCUUGGGUAAGCCUGACCUACAUGGACUGAGGGCAGACACAAAGGUUAGUGCUUACUAGCACUCCACUCAAUUAUAUCCUUAGGACGCUGCAUGUAAAUAACUUGACAGAACAGAGCAAGUGAAACCACAGGAAUGGAAGCUUGGCCAGCAGCUUGAGCUACUUACUGUUAUUCUGUUUUCCAGGAAGAGGUAUUUGCAGAGAAAUUGCAAAACCAAACACAAAAUAGUCAGGUACGUGAUGAGGUGGGAAAGAGCCAAUGAAUGACAACAUAGUGAAAUAAUUUGGGAAAACCCAACAGGGAGCUGUGGGAGCAGGUCCAGAGGAGGGCCACAAAGAUGAUGAGAAGGCUAGGGCACCUUCCCUAUGAAGACAGGCUGAGGGAGCUGGGCUUGUUCAGCCUGGAGAAGAGAAGGCUGCAGGGUGACCUCAUUGCAGCCUUCCAGUACCUAAAGGGAGCCUAUAAACAGGAGGGGAGUGAACUCCUUGAAAGGGUAGAUAACAGCAGGACAAGGGGAAAUAGUUUUAAGUUGAAGGAGGGAAGAUUUAGGUUGGAUACUGGGGAAGUUGUUUACUAUGAGUGGCGAGGUGCUGGAACAGACUGCCCAGAGAGGCUGUGGAUGCCCCGUCCCUGGAGGUGUUCAAGGCCAGGUUGGAUGGGGCCCUGGGCAGCCUGGCCUGGUACUAAAUGUGAAGGUCGGUAGCCCUGCAUGCCAUGUGGGGGUUCGGUGCUUUGCGAUCCUUGAGGUCCCUUCCAACCCAGGCCAUUCUAUGAUUUAUGAUAUGAAACCUCCGUCAAAGAGAGGAGCAGCAAACUCAGGGGAUUCCAGCACAGGAGUUGCUACCAAGUGACACCUCCUGGCAGCUGGGUGCUUCUUCACAUUGCACUGUCACCCAAAAGGAAAUGGCUUGUGUGCGUUAAGGAAUGCUUUGACUGCAUUGCUGUUAACGCACUCACACUGCAAACGUUUGGAUUUUCAGAUGAAUGGCACCAAAACCAAUGCGUAACUUCAUGCCACUGCAUCUGAAUAGCCAGAGAAAGUGAGUAUACUGUUACACAUAACCAGGGACUCCAGCAUUAGCAGUUUCCUUGCAGGAUUUCCUUGCAGCAAUGCAUGAUUCCACGCAAAUUCCAGCAAGUCUUACCUAUGUUACACAUCCACUUUUUCUGUGAACCACACAAGAGACAAAGAACAGCAUUGGAAGUUUGCUGUAACUGAAGGAUCAUACCGCCUUAAUCACACCUUCCAAUUUCAUUUUUAGAAGGUUAUUUUCAGUGAGCUUUGGAUUUCAGUAGUUUGUCAUUCAUGAAAGGAAGAACCCCUACCUAUCCCCCUUACCCCUCGUUUUUCACAAGCAUGAGAACUGCCACCAUGCUUAAGGAUUUGUCAGCUCACAGACUGUUUGUGGCACAGGCACCCACAGGCUCCCCAGUGAGAUGUGGUACAAACCCAGGGUUAGAGCUUCUCCCCAUGUCUACUGGCAAUAGAGUGGGGUGUGCAGUGAGCAAACCUCAAAACCCAACUUGCUUUGUACAACACAAGCUCUCAUCAAGUCAUGCUAAUGAGUACAGCACGCACAAACUACAGCUAUAUCGGUGCAUCCCAAGUGUUAACUUGCUCUACUCAGAAGCGCUGAGGUUCUUGUUGGGUAUGUGAAAGCUGGGACACAGCCAACCAGAGGGCUUCCAUACAGGCCCGGACCCCAGCAAGGUGUGCUGAGGGUUAUCUUCAGCACGGUGCUCCAGUCCCCAUAGCUCUGCAGGAGCUGGGUGGGCCAAGACUAAAGCUCUGAGGGUAGUUCUGGACUGUGUGACUCUAUCUGUGGCCUCAAGAGAACUAUCCCUAUUCAGCUGAGCAGCAGAUGCUCAUCCAUUCCCUCUACUCAGGAAGUUUCUGCCACUGUUGGUUGGGAAACUGAGUUUCCCCACGACUGUAAUCUCCUGGGCUCAGCCUGCACUUCUGCCAAGGCCCAUCACUGUGUGCUGAUUAACAAGUAUGAAGUUCACUACCCUCAUCCCCAUGACCAGUGUCAAAAAUAGAACUAACUUCCUGUUUCACCACUGCCAAUGGGUCCUCACUUAAAUUCAUGGAAGUUCCAAGAGAAUGUGAGGUUUCCUCUCUACUGAAACUGUUUCUGUGAGGCCAUGACUUGGAGUAGCCUGUCCACCCCCCACCUCAUAUUAUGUUCUGCAGUUCAGUAGCAGUUACACGUCCACAACACCUGAAGAGGCUCUUCUUGUGCUGAAAAACAGAAUAUAAUAAAGUUAUCACAGGAAUCCUGAGGUCUUCCAGAGAUUUAACAAUUGCUUCCCCCCCUCCCCCCUCCAUUUCAUUUACAAACACUUAGAUACGCAACCCUCCCAUUCUUAACCUGUGUUUUCACACCACACGGACCUACUUACCUACUACACCCAGCUGAAUCCACACCCUUACCUUGAAGCUGUUACCACUGCACAAAGCAUUUCUGUAGAUGACAGAAGGAAACCACCACGGCAGCUCCUCCAAGCUCAGGAUCAGAGCACUCACUUUAAUGCGUCUUUACCUGCUUUUUUUCACAGGCUCUACAAGCAGCAGUGCCUCUGUGACUCUACAGCUCUCCCCCUUCAUCCAAAGGGACUGCAGACAACAAAGAAAGUGCAAUUUUAAAACUUAUUUACGUGCCAAGAGAAAUACAAAUUGCAUGUGUCACCUUCACAAGCCAUUAUGAAAACCUUCCCACCCAGCUGACUUGUGUGCUGGCAAUUACAUAGGGCCAACAGUGAGUACACACAACCUGAGAGAUGGCCAACAUCUUAACAGCUCUCUGAGCUGUGCUGAUGUGGAUGGUGUCUCCACAAAACCAAAACACCUUAAAACUUACCCUGGAAUGCUUUUACACUCUUGCGUAUGUUGUACACACCAAUCUGGUACAUGCACGCAUUUCUCGUGCAGAUUGCAGGCAUGUUUCCAGUACGUUAUCCAGUGAAGGCUGAAUUUACAACAAAAUCUUUCUGGUUUUAAUUAGGAGCAAGAAUUUACCACGAUGAAAGCAAGAAAAGCAUACAAACGUACUAACUGCUUCUUUGCAGAAGGCAAACGCAUCACACGUUGCUACUUAUCCUUGUUCUCUGCACCGUCUUCCACGACUUCCAGCUGCUUCUCCUUACUCUCAGGGCACAGAGUGGUUGCUUACCUGAUUGCACUGAGACCAAAUUCGUUUUUGCAACAAAACUUGUGGUUUCUGCAGUGUAGGAUGCUGGCACAGCAAAGGGCAGACAUAUGUGACAGCUUAGCAGGCUCGGGACCAUACAAACACCUGAAGCAGCUUUCAUAAAAUGCAUUAAAUCAGAGUAUAUCCACGUACUCAAAACACAGUAAAGGCAGGCCUUCAGUUCUUUAGUCACUUUAAGUCUUUUCACAUGGAACACUGAGACAGUGCUUAUUUCUGCAAUAUGGCUAUAAGCUUCUUGUGGAUCUCACAGUUAAGACCUGCUGGGUCAGAAGGUAAAUGGGUGUGAGCAUUUCCAGACGAACAGUGUAAAAUGAUGACCUACGUUUGAGAUAACACAGGAUUUAACAUUCCAAGCUUCUAAGCUGUGUAAAAUCUAGCCUGACAAAUAGCGGGUACCCCCAAACUCCUGAAAGUGAACUAUACAACGUAGGAAACUAUUUUACUUGUCUGGCACAUCAAGCAUUCCUUUCAUUACUUUUUCACCUCAGUUCUCUCUUCACUGAGACAUCAGCAGCAUCUACAUUAUCGGAUAAAGAAACACAGUAAAACAGGGAAGUAAUUUCAUCUGCAAAGCAGGAUCCUUGCCUCCUACCCAGAGCAGCAGCAUGGAAACAAGGUGGGGGAAGGAAGAGAAGGAAUCACUGCAAGUGGUAUCAGUGAUACCGAACAUACAAAAGCAAAGUAUGUAGUUGCUAUGUCAGCAGAUUUAUCCUGGACAAUUUUAUAUCCAUGUUUUCUGCCGUUUGUAGAAAACACACACCCUAUCGUACUACUUACCAUCAUUACUCGGUAUCAGCUGCACAAACAUAAGCAUAAGCUUAGCCUUAAAGUUUAAGGACAGCAACUGUUCUGACAUAUAAUACUGUUUUUCUUUUUCCCCUUCAACAAAGUGAAAGCAUUCACAUGGAGAAAUAAAACAAAGAGAGCAGUGCUUUUCAAUCAAAACUCUUCAGAUGUACAAACUAAACUGGAGGUUAUAGCAGCAAUAGAGCAUUAUAUUUUUUUCUUCUGUGAUGAAUGAAGCACUGGAUAAGGUGGGGUGUGCAGAAGCAACAUGAGUUGCAUGUGCUGCCCUAAGACACCAGGCCUUCUGUGGGAAGAUGCAGAAGGCAAAAAGCUGGCUCAGAUCCUUUGACAAGACUGAUGUGGAUUUAAAGAGAUAGAAGAAUGGCAAAUAUUGCUACAAUACCAACAAAUAUUUCAAGAUGCCAAGGUUUAGGUUUUGUGAUGUGAAUUACUUAACAUCUCGUGACAGUCCUUCACCAUCUGAUUGCACCAUGGCGAAAACAGACCACCAUGCCUGUGUAGUUACUGUGAGGUGUUAUCCUGAGAAAUUCACUGCACUUACCUCCAGGAGGAGCCAAAAUACUUUAGAAAAGAAAAACUUGUAAAUCCUUUUUCCUGACCUAUACCACUACUGGACUUUGGCCCACGCUUCCAGGGAGCCUACAGAACUCUCCAACUCCUCUCAGUGGAGUAUCUUCUUGAAAGAAUAAAAGACUUUAUUUCACAGGAAUCAGCUGUAAGGAGAAACAAAGUUAUUUAACACACCAUACAACACAUUGUGUUUCCUCCCACUUUGGAGUAAGGAUUAUUUCAGCAAUAACCACCCUUUCCCUUAACAGAAAUUCACCUUCUCUUUGAGAAAUGGAUCAUUUCCCCCGUCCAUGACACAAAGCACUACAGAAACAGCAAUGAUGCUCAGUGCACGGAACUCUACACGCCAUUUCCCCAAAGCAGCAGCCAGGAAGAGGGCGUUGCUGCAGCUGAGACAGCACACAAAGUGGAAGCGUUGAUAAAGAUUAGCCAGUGUGACACAGGAAACACUGCUUAGAAGACAGGGAAACAAGUCAGCUCAGCCAACUCCAGCCUAGCUGAGAGGAAUGAACCCAACAGAAUGGCUUGGGUUGGAAUGGACCCCCAGGAUCAUCAAGUUCCAACCCCCUGCCACAGGCAGGGCGACCAACCUCCACAUCUGGUACUAGACCAGGCUGCCCAGGGCCCCAUCCAACCUGGCCUUGAAGGUUACCCCACCAUACCCUCCCCCUGUGCGUGGCUCUGUAGAUAAAUACAGGACAGCGCGUUGAGCAGCGAGCAAAGCUCCUCCUGCCGGACACACAUCGCCCUCCGCAGCCACGCACCGCCAGCGCUGCUACCCAAACCGAAGGCACGGCCCAGCGGCCCCGCGGCCGGCACGGCCACACGCUGCUCCCUGAGUUCUCCCGCCCCCGCGACGCCUCAGCCCUGCUCGCAAAACGCACACGACAUCAGGCAGCUCGGCACCGCGCUCCCAGGCCCUGUCCCCGGCAGCCUCCCCUCCCGCCGCAGCGCAGCGCAGCGCGGCCCCGGCUCGCACCGCCUCACACCGCCGCGCACCCACCUCAGCGGGCGCCGCUCCCGCCUGAGAGCCCCGCUAACCGCGAACCGCCACGGCGCUCUGCCCCUCCGCUUCCAGCCCUCCGCACCGUCUCGGAGCGACCGCCCAGCUCCCCCUUUCCCGACAUCUUAACCCGGCUCGCGGCCGCUCCUCCGGCGCUAAAGCGAACUCGCGCCACCAACAUGGCGCCCGCCG
ensembl:lncRNA